rnacentral:rRNA from 1 species
UACGGAAGGCAGCAGUGGGGAAUAUUGCACAAUGGGCGAAAGCCUGAUGCAGCUAUGCCGCGUGUAUGAAGAAGGCCUUAGGGUUGUAAAGUACUUUCAUCGGGGAGAAAAAACAAAACUAAUAAUUUUAUUUCUUGACGUUACCCGAAAAAGAAGCACCGGCUAACUCCGUGCCAGCAGCCGCGGUAAUACGGAGGGUGCUAGCGUUAAUCAGAAUUACUGGGCGUAAAGAGCACGUAGGUGGUUUUUUUAAGUCAGAUGUGAAAUCCCUGGGCUUAACCUAGGAACUGCAUUUUGAAACUGAAAUACUAGAGUAUCGUAGAGGGAGGUAGAAUUCUAGGUGUAGCGGUGAAAUGCGUAGAUAUCUGGAGGAAUACCUGUGGCGAAAGCGGCCUCCUAAACGAAUACUGACACUGAGGUGCGAAAGCGUGGGGAGCAAACAGGGAUUAGAUACC